AACGAACGCUGGCGGCAGGCCUAACACAUGCAAGUCGAGCGAGGACUUCGGUCAUAGCGGCGGAAGGGUGAGUAACGCGUGGGAACGUGCCCUUUGCUUCGGAAUAGCCCUGGGAAACUGGGAGUAAUACCGGAUGAGCCCUUUGGGGGAAAGAUUUAUCGGCGAAGGAUCGGCCCGCGUUGGAUUAGGUAGUUGGUGGGGUAAUGGCCUACCAAGCCGACGAUCCAUAGCUGGUUUGAGAGGAUGAUCAGCCACACUUGGACUGGGACACGGCCCAGACUCCUACGGGAGGCAGCAGUAGGGAAUCUUAGACAAUGGGGGAAACCCUGAUCUAGCCAUGCCGCGUGAGCGAUGAAGGCCUUAGGGUUGUAAAGCUCUUUCAGCUGGGAAGAUAAUGACGGUACCAGCAGAAGAAGCCCCGGCUAACUCCGUG
rnacentral:rRNA from 1 species